GACGAACGCUGGCGGCGUGCUUAACACAUGCAAGUCGAACGGUGAAGCGCCUUCCUUUUUGGUGGGUGUGGAUGAGUGGCGAACGGGUGAGUAACACGUGAGUAACCUGCCCCCUUCUUCUGGAUAACCGCAUGAAAGUGUGGCUAAUACGGGAUAUUCUGGGUCUGUCGCAUGAUGGGUCUGGGCAAGAUAUUGUUUCGGUGGGGGAUGGGCUCGCGGCCUAUCAGCUUGUUGGUGGGGUGAUGGCCUACCAAGGCGGUGACGGGUAGCCGGCCUGAGAGGGUGGACGGUCACACUGGGACUGAGACACGGCCCAGACUCCUACGGGAGGCAGCAGUGGGGAAUAGUGCACGAUGGGCGCAAGCCUGAUGCAGCGACGCCGCGUGAGGGAUGGAGGCCUUCGGGUUGUGAACCUCUUUCGCCAGUGAAGCAGGCCUGCCUCGUUUGUGGGUGGGUUGACGGUAGCUGGAUAAGAAGCGCCGGCUAACUACGUG
rnacentral:rRNA from 1 species